GACAGAGGGGGCAAGCGUUGCUCGGAAUUACUGGGCGUAAAGCGCACGUAGGCGGGUCGUUAAGUCAGGGGUGAAAUCCCAGAGCUCAACUCUGGAACUGCCUUUGAUACUGGCGACCUAGAGUUCGGAAGAGGUUAGUGGAAUUCCCAGUGUAGAGGUGAAAUUCGUAGAUAUUGGGAAGAACACCAGUGGCGAAGGCGGCUAACUGGUCCGAUACUGACGCUGAGGUGCGAAAGCGUGGGGAGCAAACAGG
rnacentral:rRNA from 1 species